GACAGAGGGGGCAAGCGUUGCUCGGAAUCACUGGGCGUAAAGGGCGCGUAGGCGGGAUGGCAAGUCGGUCGUGAAAUCCUUCGGCUCAACCGAAGAACGUCGGCCGAUACUGCCGUUCUUGAGGGAUGCAGAGGAGAGUGGAAUUCCUGGUGUAGCGGUGAAAUGCGCAGAUAUCAGGAAGAACACCCGUGGCGAAGGCGGCUCUCUGGGACGGUACUGACGCUGAGACGCGAAAGCGUGGGGAGCGAACAGG
rnacentral:rRNA from 1 species